AACGAACGCUGGCGGCAGGCUUAACACUUGCAAGUCGAGCGCCCCGCAAGGGGAGCGGCAGACGGGUGAGUAACGCGUGGGAACCUACCUGAAGGUACGGAACAACUCCGGGAAACUAGAGCUAAUACCGUAUGUGCCCGAAAGGGGAAAGAUUCAUCGCCUUCAGAUGGGCCCGCGUCAGAUUAGCUAGUUGGUGGGGUAAUGGCCCACCAAGGCGACGAUCUGUAGCUGGUCUGAGAGGAUGAUCAGCCACACUGGGACUGAGACACGGCCCAGACUCCUACGGGAGGCAGCAGUGGGGAAUAUUGGACAAUGGGCGCAAGCCUGAUCCAGCCAUGCCGCGUGAGUGAUGACGGCCUUAGGGUUGUAAAGCUCUUUCGACGGGGACGAUAAUGACGGUACCCGUAGAAGAAGCCCCGGCUAACUUCGCGCCAGCCGCCGCGGUAACAC
rnacentral:rRNA from 1 species